rnacentral:tRNA from 1 species
GCCUUCGUGGUGUAAUGGCAGCACUUUCGGCCCGUAUUCGAGAGGUCCGAGGUUGGAGUCCCGGCAAAGGCA